rnacentral:rRNA from 1 species
CCUACGGGAGGCAGCAGUGAGGAAUCUUGGGCAAUGGACGAGAGUCUGAACCAGCCAAGCAGCGUGAAGGAUGAAUGCUCUCUGGGUGGAAAACUUUUUUUAUAUGGAAAUAAGAUGUUCCACGUGUGGGAUUUAGUAUGAACCAUAUGCAUAAGGAUCGGCUACAUCCGUGUAAGCAGCCGCGGGAACACGGAGGAUCCGAGGGUUAUCCGGAUUUAUUGGGUUUAAAGGGAGCGGAGAUGGGUUGUUUAGUCAGGUGUGAAAGUUUUCGGCUUAACCGUAAAAUUGCAAUGGAUACUGGCAACCUUGAGUGCAGGUGGGGUAAGAGGAAUUCGUGGUGUAGCGGUGAAAUGCUUAGAUAUCACGAGGAACUCCGGUGGCGAAGGCGGCCUACUGAACUGCCACUGACGUUGAUGCUCGAAAGUGUGGGUAGCAAACAGGAUUAGAUACCCUGGUAGUC